GUUCUACUACGGCGUUGGUGACUGCCAACAAUGUUUUACGAUCUAUGUUUCUUCUGAACGGGAACCCAGUUGCGCUGGCGGCAGUAGACCAGGCUCAGACCUGGAAACUUUAUGUCAGGCGCCAAGGUGCCCACCUGGUUAAUCCAGGUCGAAGACUGAGGUAAGACGGCGCUGCGGUGAACCU
rnacentral:other from 1 species